CUCGCCUGUUUAUCAAAAACAUUUUUCUUGUUAGUUUUUGAAGUAUGGCCUGCCCGCUGACAUUUGGUGUUGAAGGGCCGCGGUAUUUUGACCGUGCAAAGGUAGCAUAAUCAUUAGUUCUUUAAUUGUGAUCUGGAAUGAAUGGCUUGACGAGGCACGGGCUGUCUUAGUGUUGAAUGUUUUAUUGAAUUUGGUCUUUGAGUUAAAAUUCUUAGAUGUUUUUGUGGGACGAGAAGACCCUAUAGAGUUUGACAUUUGGUUUAUUUACUUGUUUGUUGUUUGUUUAUUUUUGGUGAGUGGGCUUUUUGUUUUGUUGGGGUGAUGGGAGGAAUGUACUUAACUCCUCUUAGUUUUGGUUAUAUUGAUUUAUAAUUAUUUGAUCCAUUUAUUUUGAUUGUAAACUAAAUUACCUUAGGGAUAACAGCGUAAAAAAA
rnacentral:rRNA from 1 species